rnacentral:rRNA from 1 species
GACGAACGCUGGCGGCGUGCCUAACACAUGCAAGUCAACUUGACUGAAGGAGCAAUCUGACAGUAGAGUGGCGCAAGGGUGCGUAACGCGUAAGUAACUUGCCCAAGGUAAGGAAUAACGUCGAGAAAUCGGCGCUAAUACCUCAUAAUGCAGCGGAUCCGCAUGGAUAUGUUGUUAAAGGUUUACCGCCUUGGGAUAGGCUUGCGUCUGAUUAGCUAGUUGGUGUGGUAACGGCACACCAAGGCUACGAUCAGUAACUGGUCUGAGAGGGAUGAUCAGUCACACUGGAACUGAGACACGGUCCAGACUCCUACGGGAGCAGCAGUGAGGAAUAUUGGGCAAUGCUCGAAAGAGUGACCCAGCAACGCCGCGUGGAGGACUGAAGGUAUUCUAUAUCGUAAACUCCUAGUGAGAGCAGACGAAG